rnacentral:rRNA from 1 species
GAUGAACGCUGGCGGCGUGCCUAAUACAUGCAAGUCGAGCGAACAGACGAGGAGCUUGCUCCUCUGACGUUAGCGGCGGACGGGUGAGUAACACGUGGAUAACCUACCUAUAAGACUGGGAUAACUUCGGGAAACCGGAGCUAAUACCGGAUAAUAUAUUGAACCGCAUGGUUCAAUAGUGAAAGACGGUUUUGCUGUCACUUAUAGAUGGAUCCGCGCCGCAUUAGCUAGUUGGUAAGGUAACGGCUUACCAAGGCAACGAUGCGUAGCCGACCUGAGAGGGUGAUCGGCCACACUGGAACUGAGACACGGUCCAGACUCCUACGGGAGGCAGCAGUAGGGAAUCUACCGCAAUGGGCGAAAGCUUGACGGAGCAACGCCGCGUGAGUGAUGAAGGUCUUCGGAUCGUAAAACUCUGUUAUUAGGGAAGAACAAAUGUGUAAGUAACUAUGCACGUCUUGACGGUACCCAAUCAGAAAGCCACGGCUAACUACGUG